GGGUGAUUGGCGCAAUGGCAGCGUACGGACCUCCUACUUGAGAUGUCCGGAAAAGUCCGGGGUUGCAGGUUCGAAUCCUGCAUCACUCG
rnacentral:tRNA from 1 species